AAACUAACAAGGAUUCCCCUAGUAACGGCGAGUGAAGUGGGAAAAGCUCAACUUUGAAAUCUGGUACUUUCAGUAUCCGAAUUGUAGUCUCAAGAAGUGUUUUCUGUGCUGGUCCAUGUAUGAGUCUGUUGGAACACAGCGUCAUAGAGGGUGACAACCCCGUUCAUGACAUGGAUACCAGUGCUUUGUGAUACACUCUCGAAGAGUCGAGUUGUUUGGGAAUGCAGCUCAAAUUGGGUGGUAAAUUCCAUCUAAAGCUAAAUAUUGGCGAGAGACCGAUAGCAAACAAGUACCGUGAGGGAAAGAUGAAAAGCACUUUGGAAAGAGAGUUAACAGUACGUGAAAUUGUUGAAAGGGAAACGAUUGAAGUCAGACGUGCGUGAUGCGGUUCAGCUCUGGUUCGCCAGAGUGUACUCCGUAUCUUUGCAGGCCAACAUCGGUUUUGUUAGUCGGAUAAAGGUUUGAGAAAUGUGGCAUCUUCGGAUGUGUUAUAGUCUCAGACUGAAUACGAUUGAUGGGACCGAGGAACGCAGCGCGCCGCAAGGCAAAGGUUCCGACCUUUUCGCGCUUAGGAUGUUGGUGAAAUGGCUUUAAACGAC
rnacentral:rRNA from 1 species